GACGAACGCUGGCGGCGUGCUUAACACAUGCAAGUCGAACGGAAAGGCCCUGCUUUUGUGGGGUGCUCGAGUGGCGAACGGGUGAGUAACACGUGAGUAACCUGCCCUUGACUUUGGGAUAACUUCAGGAAACUGGGGCUAAUACCGGAUAGGAGCUCCUGCUGCAUGGUGGGGGUUGGAAAGUUUCGGCGGUUGGGGAUGGACUCGCGGCUUAUCAGCUUGUUGGUGGGGUAGUGGCUUACCAAGGCUUUGACGGGUAGCCGGCCUGAGAGGGUGACCGGACACAUGGGGAAUGAGAUACGGGCGAGACUCCUACGGGAGGCAGCAGUGGGGAAUAUGGCACAAUGGGCGGAAGCCUGAUGCAGCAACGCCGCGGGCGGGAUGACGGCCUUCGGGUUGUAAACCGCUUUCGCCUGGGACGAAGCGGGAGUGACGGUAAUGGGUAAAGAAGCAACGGCUAACUACGUG
rnacentral:rRNA from 1 species